UUCGUGGCGCCUCUGCAAAUACUUUGGAUGCUCCACAUGCGGCGGCAAUUGCUGCCGUCGAGGCGGCCAACAAAGCCAAGGCAGCUGCCAUUGUGGUGAUCACCACCAGCGGCAAGUCCGCCUUCCUGGUGAGCAAAUAUCGCCCACGUUGCCCCAUUAUUGCCGUUACGCGUUUCCCGCAAACCGCUCGUCAGGCUCACCUGUACCGUGGCCUGGUUCCACUCAUUUACAAGGAAGCUGCUCAGCCCGAUUGGCUGAAGGAUGUCGAUUUGCGUGUCCAGUUCGGUUUGCAGGUGGGCAAGAAGAACGGCUUCAUCAAAACUGGGGAUUCUGUUGUCAUUGUUACCGGCUGGAAGCAGGGAUCCGGCUUCACCAACACCAUUCGUAUUGUAACCGUCGAAUAAACCUGAUCGCUGUACCGCAGUGAAAGCGUUCUAAGCGCUUUAUGCUUGCAUCAAUUAUUGUUAUUAACCAAGUUAAUUUAUUACAAAAUUCUCAACAAAAUAUAUACGGACUAUCAGUAAAUCGAAAUUGGAAACAUCUAACCGCUGCCAAAGCGCCACAGUUGGAGCUCCCAGGCGUGGGGCCCUUAACACAAACACACACAUAAAGAAAUAAUGUAUCAUUGUUAAACAUAGCGUUCUUUAUAGCAACAAGGAAUAAUAAAAA
rnacentral:sRNA from 1 species